CGAUGGUUCAAGUGAUUAGAGCGUCUGCCGCGGAUGCUGGAGGUCUCGGGUUCGAAACCCGGCUGAGUGA